rnacentral:rRNA from 1 species
UCUGGCUCUUUCAGAGUCCGAGUUGUAAUUUGAAGAAGGUAUCUUUGGGUCUGGCUCUUGUCUAUGUUUCUUGGAACAGAACGUCACAGAGGGUGAGAAUCCCGUGCGAUGAGAUGAUCCAGGCCUAUGUAAAGUUCCUUCGAAGAGUCGAGUUGUUUGGGAAUGCAGCUCURAGUGGGUGGUAAAUUCSAUCUAAAGCUAAAUAUUGGCGAGAGACCGAUAGCGAACAAGUACAGUGAUGGAAAGAUGAAAAGAACUUUGAAAAGAGAGUGAAAAAGUACGUGAAAUUGUUGAAAGGGAAGGGCUUGAGAUCAGACUUGGUAUUUUGUAUGUUACUUCUUCGGGGGUGGCCUCUACAGUUUAUCGGGCCAGCAUCAKUUUGGGCGGUAGGAGAAUUGCGUUGGAAUGUGGCACGGCUUCGGUUGUGUGUUAUAGCCUUCGUCGAUACUGCCAGCCUAGACUGAGGACUGCGGUUUAUACCUAGGAUGUUGGCAUAAUGAUCU